rnacentral:rRNA from 1 species
CACGUAGGGUGCGAGCGUUGUCCGGAAUUAUUGGGCGUAAAGGGCGCGUAGGCGGCCAUCUAAGUCAGACGUGAAAUCCCCCGGCUUAACCUGGGAACUGCGUCUGAUACUGGAAGGCUUGAGUAUGGGAGAGGGAUGUAGAAUUCCAGGUGUAGCGGUGAAAUGCGUAGAUAUCUGGAGGAAUACCGGUGGCGAAGGCGGCAUCCUGGACCAUUACUGACGCUGAGGCGCGAAAGCUAGGGGAGCAAACGGG